UUUAUAUGCUAUGUAUUUACCAGUAGUUAUUGUUAAUGAUGCUAGCUUCACUUUGUGUCGCAAAAAGUCUUUCAGAUAUGAUUUACGCAUCCUGCCCAACAUGUUCAUCCAAAUUUCAUCCAUUUCACUGAUGGAAGUAAAGUGGGUCUCUCCAUCAAUUGCCUUGUCUCUGAAAUCUGUCUUUUUCGAAAUGCUUUUGAUGGUAGACUUUCGUCUUGUAUUGUCCAUCUCUUGUUGCUCAGCAAUGUUGCUGGUGGCAAUGUGGUUCACCACUUCACCGGGUACCUGCUGGGGUUUGGGCUAUCCAACUGCAUUUCUGCACCAGAGUUGUGAUCUGCUACUGUAGACAAAAGUGGUUUACCUGUCGAUGAGUGAGUAGAAGAAGAGGAUUCAGGGAGAGCAUCAGCCUCACUGAAAAGUAUUUCAGUGAUGUGAGAAACCAAUUGGGAUACAAACAUUUGUGGUUCAAUACCAUUUCCAAUCAGCUGCCUUGCACAUCUCAGGGUUUGCAUAGUGUCUCCGGAAAGAGCCAAUGUGAGCAAUUCAGUGAGCUUAUCUUGUGGAACGAGACCUACCUUCAUAUGGAACAGAAAUUACCGUUAAAAAUAAUUGCAUCUUAGGAGGUUUGCAGCUAGUCAGUUGAUCCCAUCAGUAAAUUGAACCUCGAAAGAGAGUAGAAAGUUUUAAAUAAAGGACCACCUCCAAGCUGUUGUACCAUGGAACUUGUAAUUGUUGGCCUGCAAUAUCCUUGAGAAUUCUGGCUGGUACUUGUUGCUGAGAUUUUGGUUCGAGUAGCAGUUUUCUGUAGUGAGGCUCCACCGGGCGCUGCUAUUGAAUACAACAGAAUUUACGCUGAAGUGAAAUUUGUUGUCCUGGCUGAUGCUCCGAAUGCUGCUGGGUUGGAGCUAAUGAACUUAAUGGAGUAGGGCUAUAUGUGAGCGUGCUAGGUCUAUGACAGAUUCACAGGGGCAUAAUUGGUUUGCACACACUACAUGGCCUUGAUGUGUAUUGUUGAUUCAUCCUUGAUUCCUUCUAUAAAGCUUGAGCUUGAACAUCUCUUCCCAGUAUUCUUAGCUUUGCUUUCUCAAUACUUGCAUUGCUUCAGUAGUCAUUUUACUUGUUGCUUUUAAUUAUAGGCUCCCUCAUUAGAGAGUUUAUAAGUGGAGGUUUUUGCUGGCCAAUCUUAUUGGUUGGUGUGCCUAGACCUUGGUGAUUUUCAGUUAAGGCCGGCUCUCCCAAUUCUCCCUGUCCUACGUAAGAUGAUGUCUGUGUCCUAAUUCCCACAGAGAAAACCCACAUAGAAAACAUAUUCAUUAACACAGUCCUCCACUUGGCGAUGUCUUUGUACUUGUUUUGGCACCAUCCCUCGUUUCCAAAAAGUAGAGAUA